rnacentral:tRNA from 1 species
CGCGGAGUAGAGCAGUGGCAGCUCGUCAGGCUCAUAACCUGAAGGUCGUUGGUUCGAAUCCUUCCUCCGCUA